CUUGCCCCAGCUAUGGGGAGGUCCCGUCUGUGGUGUUCCAUGCAGGCUGCCCGUGCUCUGUCCUGGGCAGUGGGCGGGCGUGGACGUGGGAGGUGGUGAGGGGCGUGGGCGGCGGGGUAGCUGCUGGUCUGCUCCUCCGCAGAAGUCCAUGCACCCGCGCCAGCAAUGAAGAGUGACCUGGCCCUCGCGGGAGCGCUGCUCGGCCUGGCCCUCCUGUCACUGCCACCGCCCGCACGCCCCCAACUGGCCGCAGAAGACGCCUGCUCCGUGCAGAUCCUGGUGCCCGGCCUCAAAGACAGGAUCUCACUAUGUAGCCCAGGCUGGCCUUGAACUUGCAAGGAUUCUCCUGCCUCAGCCUCCUAAGUGCUGGGAUUACAGGCUUGCAUCACCACACCCACCACAUACUCUUCAAUUUUAGAACAAAAUUUUCUUUUUA
rnacentral:lncRNA from 1 species